rnacentral:lncRNA from 1 species
CUCACCUGGGGCCUUUCUCCAGGUGCACCCGUGGGCCAAAGAGCCCCUUUCAUUCUCAGCCUGGGGCUGUAGUCCCAUUGAGACUGCAGAAGUGCUGGUCUCAGCUGUGGCCUGUCAGAUACUUGCAUAGUCAUCCUGAUUUUCGGUCAUCCUUGGUUGCCACCCUUGAGGCUUUCUUGCUUGUUUCACCCUGGGAACUGUGAGAUGGAGCCCUGGAAGAAUUGCAUGUAUGUGGCUGAGAUUUGUAUGACUGCUCCUUCAGUAUAACAGAAGUAUCUUCCUGAACCAGCUGAAGUUACCUGUCUCCUGAGGAAGAUGAGUCCCUCUGUAAAGACUUCUGUUAUUGAAAAACGAUGGUUUCCAUUUGGAUCUCUCAGUAACUGUUCUGGGCAAGCUGAAGCAGGCAGCAGUUUAGCCUGGUAAGUGUCCUAGAAGUGGCAGAA